AGCGCGAAGCGAGCCCUGAGAUGAGUCUUCCCUGACGGUUUAACCGUCCUAAAGGGUUGUUCGAGACUAGAACGUUGAUAGGCAGGGUGUGUAAGCGUUGUGAGGCGUUGAGCUAACCUGUACUAAUUGCCCGUGAGGCUUAACCAUACAACACCCAAGGGGUUUUGUA
rnacentral:rRNA from 1 species